rnacentral:lncRNA from 1 species
CAGACAUAGUAGUGGCUCCCGUCUGCAGUCCCAGCUACUUGGGAAGCUUAGGUGGAAGGAUCCCUUGAGCCCAGGAAUUGGAGGUUGCAAUGAGCCAUGGUUGAGCCACUGCACUCCAGCCUUGGGGUGACAGAGCAAGACCCCCUCUCUAAAAAAAAAAAAGCCACAAAAAUACAAAUUUUUAUAAGAAAGUGCUGGAGUAAAAGGAGAUAAUGUGUGACUGAGUGAUCUUAACCAAUUGCAGUUAAAAAAUGUUUUUAACAAAUUUUACAAAAAACGUUCACUCUGUGAACACAUCAUUCAUUAGGACCUCCCUCAGCUCUUUGGAAGGAGCUAAUAGUGUAAAUGAAGGGUUUUGAGGCCACGACUUCAUUAGCAACUCAAUAAAUCCACCUGUGCCUCUGCUGGAGCCGUGGUUUUCCACAAAGAAUUGACAGGCCUAAAAGGUCAAUAGUGCCUUGGCUGAGAAAGCUUGUGCUCCAGGGAGGAAACCUGAAGAAAGAGGUUGCCAAACUCUUCUUGGGUGGUCAUUGAUUGCACCCAAAUUGCAUUUUAUGAGACUCUCAGAUCCAUUAUCUCUCUUGGUCUUGGGAAGACAGUAGAGGGAGUUGGGAUGGAUUGUUCAGCUCUUUGCAUUACAAAUGUAUCCUGGGUGACAGAGAGGGUGUCCUGCAGUUGCUCCCAUGCUCCCUGACUCUCUUCUCUCUUCUCAUUGUUGUCUCUCUUUAGGCCAGCCCUGUCCAAUGCAAAGGCGAGCCCUGGUUCCAUGGGUGAGGAAGGGAUCUCUGGGUGCUUCCAGGCUGAACCUCUAGUCUGGUAAACAUCUGAAAGCAAACACUCCUCUCCCAUGAGAAUUGGUCUCCUGGAGAGCAUGCCUUUCUGAGUGACAACAAAAGUGAUCCAGAAUCUGAAUGGAAAGGAAUCUGGAGAUCAUCUAGUCCCAACUCCUAUAUAACACAGUUCGUCUUCAGUAUUACCCAAAAUGUGUAUAGUCUGUGCUUGAACACCGUGUGUCACAGAGAAUUCACUGACUCACAUCACUCCUCGCCAUUGUGCAUCAGCUUCAGAUAUUAAAACGCCUUCCCUUGAACCAAACUGAUCUUCUGGCAACUUCCACCAGCUGGGGUAAGUUUGGACUUUUGGGGCCAUGGUUAAGUCAAUUCCCUUUUCCCCAUGGCAAUACUUCAUCAAUAAACUAUGGGUUUUUUGCUUUUUUGUUCUUGUUGUUUUUGAGACAGGGUCUCACUCUGCCGCCCAGGCUGGAGUGCAGUGGCACAAUCUCGGCUUACUGCAGCCUCUGCCUCCCAGGCUCAGGUGAUCCUCCCACCUCAGCCUCAGUCCCAGUAGCUGGGACUACAGGCGUGCACCACCAUGCCUGUUAGUUUUUGAAUUUUUGGUGGAGAUGAGGUUUCACCAUGUUGCCCAUGGCUGGUCUUGAACUCCUGGACUCAAGCAAUCUGCUUGCCUCGGCCUUCCAAAGUGCUGGGAUUACAGGUGUUAGCCACUGCGCCUGGCCUAAUAAAAUAAACUAUGUUCUAUUAGUGCCUGCUUCCUGGGGAUACUGUGAGGACUAAAUGAGGACCUGCCCAUAGUGAGGACUCAGGAAAUGUUCGCAAUGAUUACAUAAUUUGAAUAGCAUUCAUGGGCUCCAUCAACCCUGGCUAGUUGCUACCCCCUGGUAAUAAUAACAGCGAAUAUUUAUUGAAGGCUUACUGAGAGGCCUUGUACCAACUCUCCUCUAUGUAGUCCUCAAAACAACUCUGUAAUUUGGAUUAUGCCCACAGAGAAGAUACAUCACUUGUCCAAGAUGACAUUAUGGCAAAACUAAGGCAGGAACUGGGCUGUUUGAUUCCAAGCCCAUGUACUUUGCCUCAUCUUUUUUUUUUUUUUUUUUGUAAGCGAUAGGGGUCUCACUCUGUGGUCCAGCCUGGGGUCUAGUGUUGCAAUCACAGUUCAUUGUAUCCUCGAACUCCUGGGUUCAAGGGAUCCUCCUUCCUUAGCCUCGCAAGUAGCUGGGAAUGCAGACGUGCAUCACCAUGCCAGGCUAAUUCUUUUUUUUUUUUUUUUGGUAGCGAUGGGGUCUCCUUAUGUUGCCCAGACUCGUCUUGAACUCCUGGCCUCAAGCAAUCCACCUGCCUUGGCCUCCCAAAGUGCUGGGAUUACAGGUGUGAGCCACUGUGCCUGACCUGCCUCAUCUUUAAAAAAAGUUUUAAAAUUAAUUUUAAAUUUAAAAAAAUUGCCUCAUAUUUUGUGCACUCAAGUCUCAGACUAUUGCCACUCACCUCUGGGCAGGUUCCAAUGGGAAGCGCUCUUCUGUGCGACUCCUCGUGCAGGUCCUUGGGUCCUGGUGUUGGCCACCAUAACAGGCCAUAGCAGAAUGAUUUCUGUGGUAUCCCUGGGAGCUUUGGCAAUUUCAGAGCCAAAGGAGAUGCCAGACUGCCUGGCUCCAAAGGGGCCGAGACUGGGUCUCAACUGUCUUUCCUCAUUGGAUAGCCUACAUUAAAGGAUCAUUUUCAAAAAAGAGUAAAAUCACGAUUCUCAUUGGGAUAUUAAAAAAACACAUGUUAAAGAUUUUAUUUAUUCUUUUUUUAAAUUAUUUAUUUAUUUUUUUGAGAUGGAGUUUUGCUCUUGUUGCCCAGGCUGGAGUACAGUGGCCCAGUCUCAGCUCACUG